UACGUAGGGGGCUAGCGUUGUCCGGAAUCAUUGGGCGUAAAGAGCGUGUAGGCGGCCCGGUAAGUCCGCUGUGAAAGUCAAAGGCUCAACCUUUGAAUGUCAGUGGAUACUGCCGGGCUAGAGUCCGGAAGAGGCGAGUGGAACUCCUGGUGUAGCGGUGGAAUGCGCAGAUAUCAGGAAGAACACCGGUGGCGAAGGCGGGUCUCUGGGCCGUAACUGACGCUGAGGAGCGAAAGCGUGGGGAGCGAACAGG
rnacentral:rRNA from 1 species